UUGGUGGGGCGGAGGAGGGGGUGGGGGUGCACUAGCAGAAAUAAAAAACACAACAAAGUACAAAAUCGAGAGGAAAAGGCAAAACACAAAAAAUGCCAAUAAAAUGCACAUACGUAAUGAAAUAUAAUUAAAGAAAGCGAGGAGGGGAAAAAGAGAAAAGUCAAGUAUAAUUAACAAUUGACGCGGUCGAUGCCAACGUCGCAGUUUUCGACGUCGACGUCCAGACAAUGUCUAUUUUUGCUAAAAGAGCAACAAUACAAAAAGUGCAGCGGCCCCAGAGGAAAAAUGCAAAAAGCUAAAAAAAAAAAAAUUAAAAAAAAAAAACAAAGUUGCGGGGAAGGAGGAGGUGGCAGGAAAAGAGAGGGGAGGACUCAUUAUGAAAUCACCUUCAACUAUAGUUUUGCACUGCAACGACCCCAAGCUAGACAGAGUGGGAAAUAUAGUGGACGAGCGGAAAAGAGACGCAAUAGCAAUGGGAAGAUGAGGGCAAAACGGAGAGCGAUAGAUUAAAAAAAGAGACGGAAUGAGGCAAUGAGAUGCUCAGAGCAAACAGUUGCAGUCAAUUAAAUAGCACUACUCAGUGUGUAUAGGCAUAUUAAUGCAAUAAUCGGAACCUUAGUUGCAUAUUAAAAAAAAGAUCUCUUUAAACAAUCGAAGUAAGUAUAUCGAAAGUAUUCCAAUCGAAAGUAUUGUAUGGUCAAAACUUAAAUAAGACAUCAAAAGUUUAGAAAUCAUUGGGCUAAGAAUUAUAAAUCGAAAAUAUCGAACUAUUCGCUAUGUAACCUAUCGAAAGUAUGCAAAUAUCGAUAUGCAAUGUAUCAUAAACAGUUGCUGAGAUAUAUAAGGUACUUAACAUCUGUGGCUAUACAAUAUUUUUCUAUUGAACUGACUCAUAUUCGUUUUGUAAAUUCCCCGAGGUCUUUAACAUUUUGACCCCAGCUGUAUGUCGUUAAUGUAUCUGUAUCUCUGCCACUGUAUCUGUAUCUGUAUCUGCAACACAAUACCGCACAUACAUUGUCGAAACGAGCGCACACUCGAGGCCACGUAAAACGGUUAAAGUUCUCUGAGUCAUGCCGGCCCAGCCCCGCCCCCCCCUGCCUUCCGCCUCCUUCGCAAGCCAUUAUUUUCAUUAUUUUCCAACCCGUCUAUAUGUAUAUAUGCAUAUAUGUAUCUCCAUUGAGCAGUAGUUUUACAGUUAAUCGGCGACGGAGACAGAGACAGAGACGCAUGCAAACGACGACAUUUGUUCGCAUUCUCAGCGAUUGAAACUUUAAUGAACCCGUCCGCCCGCCCCGCCCACUCCGCCUUACCCCAACCUCCUGCAAUAUUUCAAUAUUUGAUGAUGAUUGCUCGUUGAAUUUUUGAUACUUCUUUGCAUAAUCCAUUCUAUUUUUAUUGCCCUCCAUCGAUCGAUGAUCGAACAAUAUGAGCUGAGUUAGGGAAUCAUGGGUAAUUAACGCGUAUUACGUGUAUCGUAAUAAGGAUGGAUUGAAAUGCUUUUUGAAUUGGAAUUGAUUUUAGAGUUAUAAAUUGAUGUUGAUUAUCGAUUAAUCCGCGUGCUUUUUUAUGACCCUAAUUUUCUGACUGUGCUUCCUGAGUUCGUCCUACAACGAUGACUCGUUUGAUAAGCGGCUGUUAUCUAUACAUACAUCUAUAUAAAUAUAUAUAUAUAUGUUAUAUAGUAAAUUUUCCUUUAUCUCGCUGUCUUUUAUUUCAUUUUGUUUUUGUCCCUCUUCCGUGUUUAGUUGUCGACAAGUUUGUUGUUGUUGUUCAAUCGUGAAUCGAUUGUGAUAAGAGUGUAUUUUAAUGAUAACGCCACGCAUCGAAUUCUAUCAAUGUCACGUUCCUCUUUACACACACACACACACACACACACACAGCUGCAUUCCCAAUAAAUUAAAUCGCGAUAAGUUUUAUGACUUAUUGUGUAUUAUUUGCUUUACGCGGCAUUCGUAAUUGCUGUUCUCACUGCUUUCAGAUUAGAUUAAAAAAAAAAAUUGGGAAAAAAACACGCAUGUGUGCCUAUUAAAUAGGAACAACAAGAAACAGAUUAAUUCAUGGCCCCGUUUUGGCGCGCAUUUUUAUUGUCUUUUUUUUUAUUUACUUUUAGCUUUGUGUAUAAAAGUAGCUCGUCAGAGUGGAAAAGAUUGGGGUGUGAGAUGGUGUGUGUUUCUAUUUACCUUUGUUUUACAACCUCGAUUAGAUAAAAACACUUUUGUACACCCCCGCUCCCGCGUUCCUGAAAAAGAAAGCAAACCCUUCACUGGCGUUUUAUUUUGGAUACUGCGCAGAAAAAGCGAUGAAACUAUUUUUAUACUUAACUCGAUGGCGAAUAUUAGUUGGUUUUAAGGGAAAGCAAACUAUAUUCAGCCAAAAGAUAAAUUGUUAAGUGAACUAUAUGUUGUGGAAAUGUGUGAUCAUCGUGAUUAUUGUAACCUUUGCAAAAUCUCUAAAUAAAGUAUAAAACAAGCAUUAGAUACUCUUCAAAAAUCAGUUUAAACUUUGGGUAUAAUUUCGGUAUUUAACUAUAAUAAUAGCCAGAAUAAUAAGGUUUUUGUUUUGGUUAUUGUAAACUAAACGUUUUGUUUUUUAAUAUUUUUUAAAUUAUUGUUCGCAUUGUUUUGGAACCUUUGCAUACCAGAGUUGAAAUUCAUGCGAACGCUCGCAAUAAUUGGCACACCUAAUCACACAGCCCCUUUCCAUAAAAUUAUACAUACAUAUUGUUGUACAUAUACAUGCACAUAUUUACAAUUAAUUUUGUUAACCAUGUGCCGGCAAAAGUUCAAUGUACAGCUAUGAAAAUAGAAUGAAUGGGUUGCCCAUUAUGCUGUUGUAGUCCCUUUCGAUCGUAGAUCUUUUUGUAUCCACUGUUUAUGGAUAGACAGGAAAUUGCUUUCGCAACCUCGUGUGAAAAUUCGCAAGUUAGUGGGAUGCGUUGCUUGCUUACACACAAUAAAUACAGAUAAACAUACAUAAACAUAUGUACAUAUGUACAUAUUCAUUCCCAGAACUUCAAGAGUUAUUUGAGAUCUCAGAAGCUUACUCAGCUUGCAAGGAAAUGCCGAGAUGUCUUUAGAUAUUAAAUAACUAAAAAACCAAGCUAGAGUAAAAGAGUGCUAACUAUAUAUUUACACAAAAAAUUGUUUAAAAAUGCUUAUGUAUCUAUAAACAUGUUCAAGAUCAUAAGGCAUGAAAAUGAUCAGAUUUCUUUUUCCCAUUUAUUUCUCAUCACAAUUUCAGCAUUUUUGCUGAUAUCUCGUAAUUUGAGUAAACUUAAACAACAAUUCGCAGCGCUGACUGUACGUUUGAAAUAAAAUAUCCCCAGCGGGGCUUAAGUAGCGAAAAGAACCUGAGAAGCGAACAAAGAACCCCAACGAAAAUUUUGCUGACUAUCACUAAAAGGUCGAGAACAGCUGUAAAAACAGCUGGCUUAAAUAUCGGUGGUAAAGAAAAUAAACGAAAUAACAAAAAGGCAGAUGGAAAGAAUAUGUGUGUACCUUAGAGUUGCUUGGGUUUGCAUAUCGAUCAUAUUAUCGAUUACAGACAGAGAAAAAGAAACAACUUCAAAUCAGUUUAAGUUUAAGGUUUAAAUAUAAGCAAGUAUCAUAAUGUGUGUUCAUUGAAUUCUAAAAUAUGCUAGUUGUUCAAAGCAAAACACUAUGGAAUAAGUCUUUUCUAUUCUAUUUCUAUAAAUAUGAGCCCGGAUAUGGCUCAUACUCUGGAAAUACCUGGUUUGACUUUAGAUUGCUUUAUAGGUUGGAUAGCGCCACCUGUCGGGUGAUAUCAGUGCCCGGUUUUGUGACAGUUUGUGAGGUUGUUGUUGACUUGAGGGGAAUGCACGACGCCCACUGUCAUAAUAAUAACACUAAUCUGAAUGGUCAUGAGUCAUUUGCGGUUUAUUUUUUCCACUACCCCUUUCCAUUUCCAUUUUACCAUUUUUUUUUUUUCCUUUUUUCUUUUUUUUUCCAUUUUUUUUCUAUUUGCUGUCGCCGUUUUCGUUGUACGUUGCUAUAAUUUAGUAUACGACGCUCUCUCUCUAUAUUCAUGAGGUGUGUGACAGGUGCGAGGGGAAAACCGAGCGACGGCGGGAUGAUAACUCAUCGAUGGACGACAAGGUAAAACAUCCCAACGAACGUGAAUUCAGAACGAUUUUGCGUUUUUGUGAAGGAAGGAAACGAAAAAAACAAGGCAUAAAAUCGAAAAAAACAAGAGUAAUAUGAUUAAAACAAAAACCGAAUCUCAUUUGAAUGAAUAAUCAAAAUUGUUAAAAUAAAAUGAAAUGUAGCAGUUGGUCAAGGAA